AUGAACGCUGGCGGCGUGCUUAACACAUGCAAGUCGAACGAAGCACUUAAGAUUGAUUCUUCGGAUGACGUCUUUUGUGACUUAGUGGCGGACGGGUGAGUAACGCGUGGGUAACCUGCCUCACACAGGGGGAUAACAGUUAGAAAUGGCUGCUAAUACCGCAUAACCCGAUAGGAUCGCAUGAUCCAGACGGAAAAGAUUUAUCGGUGUGAGAUGGACCCGCGUCUGAUUAGCUAGUUGGUGAGGUAACGGCCCACCAAGGCGACGAUCAGUAGCCGGCCUGAGAGGGUGAACGGCCACAUUGGGACUGAGACACGGCCCAAACUCCUACGGGAGGCAGCAGUGGGGAAUAUUGCACAAUGGGGGAAACCCUGAUGCAGCGACGCCGCGUGAGUGAAGAAGUAUUUCGGUAUGUAAAGCUCUAUCAGCAGGGAAGAAAAUGACGGUACCUGACUAAGAAGCCCCGGCUAACUACGUG
rnacentral:rRNA from 1 species